CGGGCCAAGAAGGGCAGGGCGCCCGCUCCUCGCCCCCCGGCGCGCCGCGGCCCCAGGGGACCGCGAGGGGACAGUGAGGGGCCGGGCCUGGCACCGACGCAAGCUUGGGGAGCGCGGGUGGUGGGAGGCGGCGCGUGUUGAACAGGAAGUGCGCGGCGUGCAGCGCCACCGUCCCGCUCCCCGCCGCCCCACGCCGCCCUCGUCGCCGCGCCCAGACCCCUGCGGCGGCCGCAGCCGCUCGGGACUCGCUGCGAGCUGGUUUCGGAUCCAUCCCGCCUCCCGGCGUCUCACUGUGUGCCCUACCGUUUGAAACACGCCCCCGCCCCCGCCCCGCAGCAGACCCGGCAGCGAGGAAGCCCAUGGUCUCCGGGGGCGCUACACGGGGAGCAGCACGUGCUUCGCGAAACACCGCAGCCCCCGGGUCCCGCCCCGCCCGGAGCGCCCACUUGAACCCGCCCAGAGAGCAGUGCGUGGCGCUGGGUGCGAGCAGUGUCUCGCCACCCCCACCCUCACCCCACCCCACCCUGCUUUUUUCAGGUUCAUCAAGGUUUGCGCGGUGGAUCCGCAGUGCACAAACCACCCUAUUUGAUGAGAACUGGUUUUAAAGGAAAACGGGGCCAUCAGAAGGAAGCCGGUUGAUGUGAAGAGACAUCUGGGGAGAGGCCCUGGCGAGGGCCCUCAUUCCACUGGGUGACCCAGAAGGAGAAAACCGCGAUGGCGCUUCUCAUCUGAAAUGUUUUCUUUACAUUUACGGACAGUGUUUAGCAAUUGUUGUAAUGUGUACUUCUGUUGAUUGAUCUGCAUAAAUAUGUAAAAUAAUUUGUUCUCUGAGUUAAUUUUGUCGGAACAAAGACUUUAGUGCUUCCUAAAUUAAAACGUUUUACUGUGUUGCCAGCA